AUGAAGCAGGAACAAUGAGUAAAAAGGGCUUUAAAGUGAACUAUAACUUUUUUUCUCAGGUGAGCCUCAGAAACAGAAGGAGGCAGAACUUCGUCACGAAGAACUUUCCUCUCAAGUGGGCGGUUGCAAUGACUUUGCAACCCUUUUAAAUAUUUUUGAACAGUGCAAAUCAAGCAAGUCUCCUUCAGCUUGGUGCCAGAAACACUGGAUCCAUUGGAGAGCUUUAAAGACUGCUUUUAGUGUGGAAACACAACUUCGGGAAAUAAUCAGUAAACUGAAACAGCUGCCAGACUUCCCUAGAGAAAAAUUUGAAGGCUCCAGAACUGAAAUACUAAGAAGAUGUCUGUGUGCAGGGUACUUUAUCAAUGUAGCUAGGAGGUCUGUAGGCAGGACCUUUUGCACAAUGGAUGGACAUGGCAGCGUGGUCUGUAUUCAUCCUUCAUCUACAUUAUACAACCAGGAAACUCAGCUCGAGUGGAUCAUCUUCCAUGAUGUCACAGUGACAUCCAAAAUCUACGUCCGGACAGUGUGUCCAAUUCGCUACGAAUGGGUCAAAGACUUGUUGCCCAAAUUGCAUAAAAUUGAUGCGUAUGAACUGAGCAGUGUGGCACGGGAAGAAGUAACUGAAGAGGAAAUAACCAGGUGGCAAUUCAGAGAGGACCUUAAAAGGCAAUAUG